CUGGACUGCGGCCCCGUGGCUCUGGCCAAUAAAUUGCCGAGCUGAGAGAGGAAGACCAAUCAGAGCACCCGAAAGGCGGGAACAGAGGCUCGUUUGCCGCACUGAAAGCGGAAGUAUUAAUUCUGCCGCCUCUCGUUGGCUCGAGUAAGUCAGGUGACCAAAGGCUAAAGCCAAUGGCAGGAUCUGGGGCUGGUCAGGAAACGUCUGUUUUGGACUCCUAACCUGGGUUAGGUACGUGGGAGUGUCGCGUAAUUCGCGUCCACAGAGCGGUGAAAAGGGAAGUGUCGAGGCUGUAGGGGGUCCUGAGUCCGCUCUGCGGUUCAGCGGGGUUAGGACGCACAGGUGUUAAAGGCCCUCCGAGAAAGGGAGGCGCUGGCCUAGGGGCUGAGGGUACUGCGAACCUGGAAUCACCGCGUUUCCCGCUGCUCUGUCCGGCCCCGCCAGGCCCAAUAAAGAGCAAAGCAAAACUUCCCAACCGAAAGAGGAAAGAUCCCUGCCGGGAAAUCUGGGACUUUACCGGCUCAUGGGACUAUGUGUGUGACCUUCAGCCCGUUGUUCAACUUCUCCCCUAGCUUCUGUAAAAUCUUUGGCUUGGAUUCAAAAGGCUGCACACCAUCAUGGGGCUUGAACUCACACAACCAUGAGAUCAAGAGUCGCAUGCUCUACUGACUGAGCCAGCCAGCCGCCCCUCUACAGGUGAUUCCUACUGUGAGGCUGGGCUGAGGACUACUGCACUAAAUGAUUUGGAUGAUAGCUACCAUUUCUUUGGCAUCUAGAACCAUUACAUUGAUGGAUGUUUUACACUCAGUAUAAAUAAUCCUCAUGAUUGUUCUGGGAGUUAAGUAUGUCCCUUUUUACAUAUGUAAAACCCAAGUCCCGGAAGUGGCUUGCCCAAAUUCACGUGGCCUCUAAGUGGUUUUGCUGACCAACUGCAGGGCCAAGUGUUUUUCUCCAUCUUUCUCAGGAAAAGAAGAUGGUAAUGAGCCCAAUAGAAGUAACAAGCCCUGUGAUGGGUAAAGCUCCACACAACUGUCAGGGGCCUUUGAUAACCUGCAUCGAGUAUUUCCAUCAAGCGCUACAGGCUGCUAAGAAGGCUGUACAUCCUGACAGUAAUAACGGCCACCAUUCAAUGGACACAGAGCUAAGCACUGCCUGCUGUUUGUCCUCCUUAUCUUAUUUAAUCCUCACAACCCACUGAAGGCAUGCUGUUAUCCCAGUUUUAUAAGAAACUGAGGCUCAGAGGGGUUAAACCAUCUGUCCAAGGUCACAGAGGCAGGGAAGGAGUGUGCCCUCCAACACCCUGCCAUGGGGCUGGCAGAGCCUCUGGCAGCCCAUCUGCUCAGGUUUCCAACUCCCAGGCCACACUUGGCUCUUCGCAGCUCCAGGAAAGGCUGAAGAGGUCAUCACAUUACCUACCACUUCUCAGGAGAGGGUUCUGAGUGCCAGGCAGGGCUCUGCCAUUGGAUCUCCCUUAACCUCACAAGGACCGGCAAGGCGGGUAUUGCUGACCCCACUUCACAGAUGCGGAAAAGGAGGCUCAGGAAGGUUAAGUGACUUGCCCGGGCUCACAGAGCCAGCCGGUAAGUGGCCACGACCAGGAUCUCAGCCUGGAGUCUGACUCCGUAACCGCAAGGCUCAGGGAAGGGGGGAGCCCGAGUCGCGCUCACUGCGCCAAGGCGGCCAAACUUUCUCUCCCCAGCCCGCGCGCCCCCAGUGGAGGCUCUGGCCCCCAUCCUGCUCCUGGCGGUGGCCACCUCACCGGGGGACCGGCGCGGAUCCCGGAGGUCGCCUCCCACCUCGGACUUCAGACUCCGGCCUCCCACCCACACGUCGCCCAUUGCCUCCCUGCGCGGUCGGCUCCGCCCCGCCCGGGGCCCUCACCAUCGCUGCUGCCGCCGCUGGGCCGGCUCCCGCUCCUCUGUCGCCGAGCGGCCGCGGUGCCACACACCCGGGAGGAAGCGGAGGGGCGGGGCCGCGGCCGCGGGGGCGGGGGGCGCGCCU